rnacentral:rRNA from 1 species
UACGUAGGUGGCAAGCGUUGUCCGGAUUUACUGGGCGUAAAGGAUGCGUAGGCGGUCGGGUAAGUCUGGCGUGAAAUCUCCAAGCCUAACUUGGAAACUGCGUUGGAUACUAUCCGGCUCGAGGAAUGGAGGGGAGACUGGAAUACUUGGUGUAGCAGUGAAAUGCGUAGAUAUCAAGUGGAACACCAGUGGCGAAGGCGAGUCUCUGGACAUUUCCUGACGCUGAGGCACGAAAGCCAGGGGAGCAAACGGG